CAAGCUUUUGUCUAUAAUAUGAGCUGGUUAGUAUGUAUAGCUUAUCCUUUCUAACAUGGCUGUUUUGAAAGAUAUCACAUAGCAGAACUGCUUAAGUGGCACUCUCCACUUUCUGGAGGACCGAGUUUUGAAAUCAGUGGAAGGCCCGUCCGGUGGAAUUAGAGUAUGUUAGCUAAGAUAGAUUUAUUUGUUAAUAUGAAGACUGAGUUGAAAACACACAGAAGGCUCCGGAUUACACGAUCUAACUAAGGGUAACCAUGGCAUCCGUGACAAAAAAGGGAGAAGCAUCCAUCCAUGUAUACGGACGGGCCAACAGGAGUGCACCACUCAGACCAUCCGGUGCAUGGACAUCCUGUGCUAGUGGUAUGAUAUCCUGUGCCAGUGUGAUCCGAGCACACCCAACCGUCCAGUUGUAGACUACAGCAGAUCGAGCCUGUGGAUGGAGAGUCCAACAGGAGUGUAUCCUUCAGACCAUCCGGUGCAUAGACAUCCUGCCCCAGUGUGAUCCGAGCAUGAGCGUCCAGUUAUGGAGGCUACCAGUGGUGGAAAAAAUGAGGCGUGACAUGCGAAACAUCAGUCUCACCCCACAAGAAGCCGUACAUGAUCAACGCCAUCCUCAGCAAGGAGAUCUGCUGGAAGUGAUGUACUCUCACUCUGGGGGACCCUAGUGUGUGUAUGGACCAUUGGCUUCCCAAAAAACGGGUACUGACAGGAGGAGCAAUACGAGUCUGUCAGAGGUCAUCGUGAUGGAGGCUUGGUGGUCAAAACAACACAGAAUCAGGUGUUCCUUCCAAUGAUGUGGCACAGACAUUGGACCUGGUUCCAGUGUGGAUGGUCUUUGAAGGCUGUAAGACCCUCCCUCCUUGAUAUAGAAAUCAACUUCAAUGGUAAUGCCCCUGCACCAUAAGGACACUUGACCUCUAACCACUGCAGUGGUGCUCACCAGACCAUCCAGUGAGGCUCCCGGGACCGAAAGCCCUGACUCCCACACAUCCAUCCCUGUAGCCAUUUUGAAUGCCUGAUGCCCUCCUAUUUAUGUGCCCCACUUUACAGACAACAAACACCCCAUCCAAUGAGUAUGAUCUAAGGACCCUGCUCCACCGACCGCACCAUGCCAGCCUGGUUGCCUGCAAGCCCCAGGUGUCCUUGUUUUUGAACAAUGUCUGGUACAGGGAGGGUUGCGGUUGUUCUAGCUCAGGUUCAAGGAGACAUGCCAUUCCACUGAACCUUCCCUGGGGAUGGUUCCUUAGCCACUGAAGAUCCUCCUCUGUGGGCUCCCGGGACAGAGAGGAUUUGUAAGUCUUCGGCCAGGUACAGGUCCUCCACUGACUGCACCUGGUUUGGCCCGGCUGGCUUCCUCCUCACACUCCACAUCCAUACAGCUGAUAUUGUGAACCGCCAAAAUAGGCUGCAUGGCUACACUUAUGAGCUCCAUGGAGACAUUUGGUAGAGAGAAUUACCUGGUCACUUAUUAUUAUAGAGACCUGACAAGCGGAAGGAUGUUGGAUGUUAAGUGUCACAUGCCUUUCUGUGCUUGACUUUGAACACCCUGAAAUGCAUUUGUUUUAAGGGUGCUAUAUAAGACGUUUGACAUUACAACUGUAGAAUAUUUCAACUGUAAUUUUCACAAGGACAAGUGCAGUUUUCCAUAAACUUUUCAUUGAUAACUUGAUUUUCACUUGACAUAUCAGUCAGUGCAAAGGAUCCCAUAAUCAAGACUGUGAAUAAAUAAAUUGUUUUUGAAGCUUU